rnacentral:misc_RNA from 1 species
ACCACUCCAACAAGUUUCCAUGGGCCUCCUCUGCAGGUUUCACAGCAGUUUCAUCUUCAACAUUAUACCUCACUGUCCAACCAUGAGCGACCUUGGGAAAUAUCUUCACAUGGCGGUCAACCUCAGGUUUAGCAGCUAGGACCUCUUCAUAUUGUUUCAGAAGUGCUGGAGGAGAAAGAUGGUCAUUCUCGGCUCCUAGUAUUGCAAUAGGAACCUCAACCGCCCUGAUAUCAUAUACAGAGACAAAUGAAGGAUGUAACAGCACAGCAGCUUGGAUAAACUCAGGUUUACCUAGUAGAACCACCACCUUGGCACCCCAACAAAAG